UGGGGAAUAUUGCACAAUGGGCGAAAGCCUGAUGCAGCAACGCCGCGUGAGCGAUGAAGGCCUUUGGGUCGUAAAGCUCUGUCCUAGGGGACGAACACAAUGACGGUACCCUUGGAGGAAGCCCCGGCUAACUACGUGCCAGCAGCCGCGGUAAUACGUAGGGGGCGAGCGUUAUCCGGAAUUAUUGGGCGUAAAGAGUACGUAGGUGGUCUUUUAAGCGCAGGGUUUAAGGCAAUGGCUUAACUAUUGUUCGCCCUGUGAACUGGGAGACUUGAGUGCAGGAGAGGAAAGCGGAAUUCCUAGUGUAGCGGUGAAAUGCGUAGAUAUUAGGAGGAACACCAGUGGCGAAGGCGGCUUUCUGGACUGUAACUGACACUGAGGUACGAAAGCGUGGGGAGCAAACAGG
rnacentral:rRNA from 1 species